rnacentral:misc_RNA from 1 species
AAAAACAAGAAAAAAAAAAAAAAAGAAGUAUUAAGACUUCAAAAGUCAUUAUCCCUAAAGAAUCUACUGUAGACAAGAUAAUUUGUCAACCAUACAAAGUCCAACUAGAUAAAAAUAAAUAAAAAGAAAGUGUCUUGUUUAGUGUGCAGUAUAGUAUGCAUGUGCAGUGCACAUGCUAAUACAAAGAAAAAGAAUGAUAGGGACAAAACUAAACCUAUCCAUAGCCUAUGUUCCAUUUUUUUCCUUUUCUUAAAA